rnacentral:misc_RNA from 1 species
UCAAACUUGGUCAUUUAGAGGAAGUAAAAGUCGUAACAAGGUUUUCGUAGGUGAACCUGCGAAAGGAUCAUUAACGAGUUAGGGUCUUUUAGGCCCGACCUCCCAACCCUUUGUUUACCAAUCCAUCGUUGCUUCGGCGAACCCGUCCUCCCGGACCGCCGGAGGACCUUCUCUGGUCCUCUGGCCCGCGCUCGUCGGUGGCCAACCUUCAAAUUCUUUAACUAAAUGUGUCUUACUGAGUUCCAACUUUUAAUUAAAAAGCAAAACUUUCAACAACGGAUCUCUUGGUUCUGGCAUCGAUGAAGAACGCAGC